rnacentral:rRNA from 1 species
GAGUGAUAGCAUAAGUUUUAGGAGAAUUGUCUGGGAAGGCAAGCGAGAGAGGGUGACAGCCCCGUAUCCGAAAAGACGGAUGUGGUACUAAGCUAGCAAGAAGUAGGGCGGGACACGAGGAAUCCUGUUUGAAGAAGGGGGGACCAUCCUCCAAGGCUAAAUACUCCUGAUUGACCGAUAGUGGACCAGUACCGUGAGGGAAAGGCGAAAAGAACCCCGGGAGGGGAGUGAAAGAGAACCUGAAACCGUGUACGUACAAGCAGUGGGAGCCCCAUCACUCAAUCGUAUUGAUUGAAGAGAGGGAGCGGAACUCAUCUCAUAAAGGUUAACAAUUUACGAAUGAAAUGAGUAAAUUGGUCAACCGAAAAAGAAGCAGUGGGAUUGAGUGAUGGGGUGACUGCGUACCUUUUGUAUAAUGGGUCAGCGACUUAUAUUUUGUAGCRAGGUUAACCRGAUAGGGGAGCCGAAGGGAAACCGAGUCUUAACUGGGCGRYWAGUUGCAAGAUAUAGACCCGAAACCCGGUGAUCUAGCCAUGGGCAGGAAGAAGGUUGGGUAACACUAACUGGAGGGCCGAACCGACUACUGUUGAAAAAGUAGCGGAUGACCUGUGGCUGGGGGUGAAAGGCCAAUCAAACCGGGAGAUAGCUGGUUCUCCCCGAAAUCUAUUUAGGUAGAGCCUUAUAUGAAUACCUUCGGGGGUAGAGCACUGUUUCGGCUAGGGGUCCACA